CUCAGACAGAAAGACGUCUUUAUAUCAUCAGUAACAGUUACCGUGAGGCAUGUCUAAGUAGCCUACUGAAGUGGACUAAAGCAAAACAGAGCCCCAAAACAGUCUAGGGAAGAAAACUUCAGCCCAAGAUGUGGAUUCCAGCAAAUGUAAAACAAAGCACUUGCACAUUUUUGUUUUUGUUCAGA